rnacentral:tRNA from 1 species
GGGCCCUUAGCUCAGUUGGUUAGAGCAGCGGACUCAUAAUCCGUUUGUCCGGGGUUCAAGUCCCUGAGGGCCCACAA